UGACUCCCCCGGGGUUACAAUUAGACUCAUCAUUAAGGCAUCUCCCAGAUGACACAGCGAGCAAAGCAGAGCUGCAGGAUGGUCCCUUCACCCCCCCCAGUCCCCAGGGGACGCAGCCCUGGUUACCUGGGGGACAGCCAGCCCCAGAGCGAUGCCCCCCAGCAGGAAGAGGUUGCUGUGGAUCCAGUUGACCAGCUUGUCGAUGCAGCCGUUGGUGUAGAUGAAGGCACUGGCCUCCAGGGCAUCACCACAAACGUCAAAUCCUGGAGGAGCCAUCCAGCAUCCACAACCUGGGGGACCCCACGGAUUUAAAGCAAGGCCCAAGAUCCCCCAAGCCUGACCCACACGUCCUUGUCCAACAGAGGAGAUCCUGACCCCCCUGUGUCCGCCCCACACCUCCUUCUGCCCAAAGUCGAUGAGGUUCUGCAGGUCAAGGUCAUCCCGGUAAUGCACGAUGGCACCAUUGAUGAUCUCGCUGACCUUCCCACGAGCCUGCAGAGUGGGACAUCAAUGAGGUUGUCACCCAACAGGACAGGCUGGGGGUCAUCCAGCCCCCCACUGCUCUCCCCCUACAGCGAUACCUUAUCGGAGAAAACGAAGCCCAGCACGCCAGCUGCCAGCUGCAGGAGGAAGAUGAUGGUCAGGCAGAUGGAGAACUGUGGGCAAGAGGAAGGUGAUGGCGGGGCGGGCCACAGCAGAGAUACCGUGGUCCCACGCCAGGGCGGGGGGGACACCCCAAAGGGACCCGCCGUCCCCGAGGACUCACCGUCUGCAGCAGACAGAUGUUCUCCCGCAAGGAGCCAACGCAGCCGCAGAAGGUGAUGAGGAAGGUGAGGACGCCCACCACGACCAGCAAGAUGGCAGGGUCCACCGCCAGGCAGGCCAUCGCCGCCUCUGCCGCAGCGAGUGUCACCGGCGGCCCCCCCAGCACCCCACAUCCCCGGGGGGGCAGGGCAGCUCCCACCAUCACCCCCCUCAUGGGCACCCCCACCGUGGUGCCAGCUCAGGAUUGAUCCCACUCUCCCCCAGCCGGGCUGGGGGGCACUGGGAGGGUGUGACACUCACUGUGUCCCCCACCCAGGUCCCCCAACCUCACCUGCAUGCUUCAGCAGCCGCGCGUAGACCCCAACUGCCACCAUCACCAUCGAGAUCAUCUGCAGAGCGGGAUGGGGGGAGAAACUGUGACCCUCCCCUUCCCACUCAGGGUGUCCCAGCACCAGAGACAGACCCGCUGCCUCAGUUGCCCCUCGUCACCCCUCUACAGAGCCAGGUCAUGGAGCUUUGGUGUCACAGGUGGGACACAGCCCACCGCCAAUAGCACAGGCAUGUCCCCACCUCUGUCACCCCUGUCCGCAACAGCCCUCCCCCCUCCCCCGCUGCGGGUGGUUGGACCUGGGGAUGUGGAUUGUCGGAAAUGAGAAACUUCCUCAAAAAUGUGAUUUGAAAUAGGGAAACAGCCCUCUAAAAAAUUCUGACCCUCAAAAAAUAACCAAAGCAUAAAAAAAAAAGUACCCCCCCCAACCAUUAAAAAAAUUCACCCCCAAACUUUAAAAAAUGCUCAAAAACAUUAAAGAAAA